UACGUAGGCAGCGAGCGUUGUUCGGAAUUACUGGGCGUAAAGGGCGCGUAGGCGGGAUGGCAAGUCGGUCGUGAAAUCCCUCGGCUCAACCGAGGAACGUCGAUCGAUACUGCUGUUCUUGAGGAUUGCAGAGGAGACUGGAAUUCCCGGUGUAGCGGUGAAAUGUGUAGAGAUCGGGAGGAACACCGGUGGCGAAGGCGGGUCUCUGGGCAAUUCCUGACGCUGAGGCGCGAAAGCGUGGGGAGCAAACGGG
rnacentral:rRNA from 1 species